GUGCUUGCUUUGGCAGCACAUAUGCUAAAAUUUGAACGAUACAGGGAAGAUUAGCAUGGUCCCUGUGCAAGGAUGACAUGCAAAUUUGUGAAGUGUUCCAUAUUUUU
rnacentral:snRNA from 1 species